rnacentral:rRNA from 1 species
AUUGAACGCUGGCGGCAGGCCUAACACAUGCAAGUCGAACGGUAACAGGGAUCAGCUUGCUGAUUCGCUGACGAGUGGCGGACGGGUGAGUAAUGUCUGGGAAACUGCCUGAUGGAGGGGGAUAACUACUGGAAACGGUAGCUAAUACCGCAUAACGUCGCAAGACCAAAGAGGGGGACCUUCGGGCCUCUUGCCACCGGAUGUGCCCAGAUGGGAUUAGCUAGUAGGUGGGGUAACGGCUCACCUAGGCGACGAUCCCUAGCUGGUCUGAGAGGAUGACCAGCCACACUGGAACUGAGACACGGUCCAGACUCCUACGGGAGGCAGCAGUGGGGAAUAUUGCACAAUGGGCGCAAGCCUGAUGCAGCCAUGCCGCGUGUAUGAAGAAGGCCUUCGGGUUGUAAAGUACUUUCAGCGGGGAGGAAGGGAGUAAAGUUAAUACCUUUGCUCAUUGACGUUACCCGCAGAAGAAGCACCGGCUAACUCCGUG